rnacentral:rRNA from 1 species
GACGAACGCUGGCGGUGUGCUUCACACAUGCAAGUCGAACGAGGUAGCAAUACCUAGUGGCGGACGGGUGAGUAACGCGUGGGAAUCUGCCCAUAGGUGGGGGAUAACUAGCCGAAAGGUUAGCUAAUACCGCAUAUGCCGAGAGGUAAAAGGAGUAAUCCGCCUUUGGAUGAGCCCCGCGUUCGAUUAGCUAGUUGGUAGGGUAAAAGCCUACCAAGGCUACGAUCGGUAGCUGGUCUGAGAGGAUGAUCAGCCACAAUGGGACUGAGACACGGCCCAUACUCCUACGGGAGGCAGCAGUGGGGAAUUUUGGGCAAUGGGCGAAAGCCUGACCCAGCAACGCCGCGUGAAGGAUGAAGUAUUUCGGUAUGUAAACUUCGAAAGAAUGGGAAGAAUAAAUGACGGUACCAUUUAUAAGCUCCGGCUAACUACGUGCCAGCAGCCGCGGUAAU